GCCGAGUUCGCUUAGUGGUCGAGAGCACCUGACUUGUAAUCAGGAUGGAGUAAUCCACACGUGAGUUCAAAUCUCACACUCGGCU
rnacentral:tRNA from 1 species